rnacentral:rRNA from 1 species
ACUCCUACGGGAGGCAGCAGUAGGGAAUCUUCCACAAUGGACGAAAGUCUGAUGGAGCAACGCCGCGUGAGUGAUGAAGGUUUUCGGAUCGUAAAACUCUGUUGUUAAAGAAGAACAAGUGUUAGAGUAACUGUUAACACUUUGACGGUAUUUAACCAGAAAGCCACGGCUAACUACGUGCCAGCAGCCGCGGUAA